UCCGUUAUGGUAUAGUGGCUAGCUCGGCCGCUCUCAUCGCGAAAGUCUCACACCAACCCGACCGGGGUUCGAUUCCCCGUAGUGGGG